AUCUGUCAAUGAUGCUUUGUCUUUUACCUACAUUGUUUGAAUUCUGUAUGAGAACAUGUACACAUUCUGAGACGGGU